CAGGUUAUCGAUGACCACAUCAUUCCAAGCAACAGGUAAAAGUUUAUACUUCAACAAUCACAAAUUGGUUGUACACAACAAUUAUUUUAAUGAUGGAAAUAAAGAAAUAGUUUUGUUGUGUGUUAUCCAACAACAACAAUGAUUUCCUAUCAUAUUUUUUUGUUGCUAUUCGUGGCUCUAACAAGUGAAACAGAUAACUUUUUUUAGCUUUGUCAAUACCGAGAGGUCAUCUUCAACAUCUUCAACACAAAAUGACAAAAAGAAACUUUGUGCCAAAUAGAUUUGACAUUGUUGACAACGAAAUAAAACACGUCAUCCAACAGGAAGUGAAAACUGCUUUAAAGAAAAAUUUUGUUCCAAAUAAUCCUUUAUUUGCAGCAAACAAGUGGGGGCAAUCUAGCUCAUCUCGUUAUCCUGAGAAUCAGCCAAAAAUGAUAUAUGGUAUGGACUACGAUCAAAUCAACCCUUCGAGAUCAGACCCCGGAUAUCUGGUUUUGGAUCUUAAAAAGCUUGCCCAAGGAUAUUUGAAAUUUCAUAAACAUCCACUUAAUGGCCAAAGGCAAAAAACAAACAAGAAAUCAUCACCAAACUUUCAACAACAACAACAGAAGAAUCCGUUUUACAGAAAUUUUGGACAAUAUUAUAAUAACAAUAAUAAUAAUUAUAUAGGUUACCCUACAUAUUAUCCAUUUCAUCAGCAGCCGUAUUAUCAACAGAAUAUUCAAUAAAAAUAGCUAAAACAUAA